UUUCACAACCGUUUAUGAUUAAAAUGUCUCCACGUGUGAGCUGUAUUCAUUUAAUGUAAUGGAUUGAGGAAAAAUUUGUUCAUGGUUUUUUCCAUGGAGAUUUUAAUGGAAAAGUAGGAAAGACUUCAAUAAAAAAAAUGACUUAUUGAAGCAGAUGAAGAAUCACGAUUUCAUCACACUGAGAUCCUGCAAGAAUCAAGUGCUGCACAUCGAAUGUUUCAUUCAAGAUACUUAGCACGUUUUCUAAAGACAUCUCUACCUUGAAGUAUAUAUCUCAACUGACUUGAAAUCUGAAGGCUGAGAAGCUUAAAUCCAACAAAUAGGAAUUAAUAAAGUAUCAAAUUGGGAAGAAGUCCAGAAAUCCAUUCUUGGUAUGG